UAAUGCUGCUGCUUUGACUGGUUCCUCCUCUCUUAUUCUGGCUCAGAUACCCUUCACCAGCAUGUGCGAGGGGCUCACAGCCUUUAACUCUUGUCUUUGUGAACAACUUUUAUCUGCAUUUCGGGCAAUGAGGCAGUGCAGUGACAUGAAACAGCUUGUCCAAGAGAGACAAAGUUAUAGGAGAAACAGUGAAACCAAAGUCUGCCUGUGUCCUUAGAGGAACCACAUUAGCAGCAGUCAUGCCUGUCAGCACAGACUCCAUCCCUGUCAGUGCGGGAUGCAGCACUGCCAGCUGGUUACUGUAUUAGUGCAGCUGCAGCAUGAGAAGCUGGACAUUUACCACCUGAAGGUCUCCAGCACUGGGUCUGGACACAGUUUGCAAUGACUGCAAAGGCUACAAAGCGCGAUGAAGGGCUCAGUGCCCAGAUACAGGCAGCCCUGAGCCCUCCACUCCCACGCUGCCCUCACCUUUUUGAUGAGCAACACCAUGUCCGUGGACCACGCCGCAGGGUACAUCACUGUGGCCGUCCUGAACACGUGAGCAAUUUCAUCUGUGGAAGUGUUGGAGCGAAUGUGAUACGGCCUCUGGGAAAAGUGCCACCAAGAAAGCAUUUUAAUUCAUCUGGGUUUUCAGACCCCUGGGGAAGUCUUUUUUAGAGCAAAGAAGCUUCAAAUGAAGCCUCCUUGUAGAUUCCCCAUCCUCCCAUUGAAAGUCUCUCCCUGUGUGAUCGCAGCACAGUUGAAAUAAACAGAAUAAUGUCAGCAAGAA